UAAGACAGAGGUGCCGAGCGUUAGGCGGAAUCACUGGGCUUAAAGCGUGUGUAGGCGGACUUCUAAGUACCUUGUGAAAUCCCACGGCUUAACCGUGGAACUGCUUGGUAUACUGGUUGUCUUGGGCCAUCUAGGGGCUACCGGAACAAACGGUGGAGCGGUGAAAUGCGUAGAUAUCGUUUGGAACGCCAAUGGUGAAAACAGGUAGCUGGGGAUGUGCCGACGCUGAGACACGAAAGCCAGGGGAGCGAACGGGAUUAGAUACCCCGGUAGUCCUGGCUGUAAACGAUGUCGACUAGAUCGUAGUGGCUCUAACGCUAUUACGGUCGAAGCAAAAGUGCUAAGUCGACCGCCUGGGAAGUACGGUCGCAAGGCUA
rnacentral:rRNA from 1 species